GUGGCUGUAGCUCAGCUGGUAGAGCACCGGGUUGUGAUCCCGGGUGUCGUGGGUUCAAGCCCCACCAGCCACACCA
rnacentral:tRNA from 1 species